UAGCUGGAAGGAUUCCUGGCAGAGUGAUUUUGUUGUGAUGUAAUGUAAAUCACAUUGCCAGGGAUUUCCAACCAGCU
rfam:Gasterosteus aculeatus cont1.005377, whole genome shotgun sequence.